AACGAACGCUGGCGGCAGGCUUAACACAUGCAAGUCGAACGGUAAGGCCUCUUCGGGGGUACACGAGUGGCGAACGGGUGAGUAACACGUGGGUGCCCUGCCUCAAGCUCUGGGAUAAGCCUGGGAAACUGGGUCUAAUACCGGAUAUGACUUCAUGCUGCAUGGUGUGGGGUGGAAAGUUUUUUCGGCUUGGGAUGGGCCCGCGGCCUAUCAGCUUGUUGGUGGGGUGAUGGCCUACCAAGGCUUCGACGGGUAGCCGGCCUGAGAGGGCGUCCGGCCACACUGGGACUGAGACACGGCCCAGACUCCUACGGGAGGCAGCAGUGGGGAAUAUUGCGCAAUGGGCGGAAGCCUGACGCAGCGACGCCGCGUGGGGGAUGACGGCCUUCGGGUUGUAAACCUCUUUCGACCUCGACGAAGCCUUUUGGGGUGACGGUAGGGGUGGAAGAAGCACCGGCCAACUACGUGCCAGCCGCCGCUGUAACAC
rnacentral:rRNA from 1 species